AUUGAACGCUGGCGGCAGGCCUAACACAUGCAAGUAGAGCGGAGCGGCGGACGGGUGAGUAAUGCCUAGGAAUCUGCCUGGUAGUGGGGGAUAACGUCCGGAAACGGGCGCUAAUACCGAAUACUAUAAGAUGAGACGAGGUCGGCUUAGCUAGUUGGUGGGGUAAAGGCCUACCACGGCGACGAUCCGUAACUGGUCUGAGAGGAUGAUCAGUCAACCUUGAACUGAGACACGUUCCAGACACCCACGUGAGGCCGCAGUGGUGACUCUUGUACAAUGGGCGGAAGCCUGAUCCAGCCAUGCCGCGUGUGUGAAAAAUUUCUUCGGAUUUUAAAGCACUUUAAGUUGGGAGGCGUUACCAACAGAGUAAACACCGGCUAACUUCGUGCCAGCAGCCGCGGUAAUAC
rnacentral:rRNA from 1 species